rfam:Staphylococcus capitis strain CR03 genome assembly, contig: BN1517_Contig_7
CGAACCAAGUAGAAGCACCCGCUUCUCACCUGUAGCGACGCAAUAGCAGUUGGCAGGUUAAUCAUGUUACACAAUAAAUGUGUGGAAGAAGAGCGGGUAUUGUUACUCGCUCUUCUUUUUUGCU